CGGGACGGGUGAGUAACGCGUGGGUAACCUNCCUCAUACAGGGGAUAACAGUUAGAAAUGACUGCUAAUACCGCAUAAGCGCACAGUGCUGCAUGGCACAGUGUAGAAAAACUCCGGUGGUAUGAGGUGGACCCGCGUCUGAUUAGCUAGUUGGUGGGGUAACGGCCUACCAAGGCGACGAUCAGUAGCCGGCCUGAGAGGGUGAACGGCCACAUUGGGACUGAGACACGGCCCAAACUCCUACGGGAGGCAGCAUG
rnacentral:rRNA from 1 species